rnacentral:lncRNA from 1 species
AUGUGGCAGAGGGUUUAUGAAGGGCUGAUCUCUCCAAAAGUGCUUCACUCUCCAGCUGGAGACAGACGUGCCUACAGGAGCUUGAAGUCCUGUGUUCUACUUCCAGUGAAGGCUGCUUUUACCCUGGACGAGGAAUCCAUACUGCUUUACUUUCUGCCCCUCUUUGGCUUUCUUCCGGAUGAAGAAAUAUGCCCUACACCUGCUGGGUCCCACUUAGCAGGAGUGGUGAGGAGAGCCUGGAGAGCUGGCUCGGAAUUCUACAGAGGCUCCAGGACCACCCCAGGGAAGGCUCACGCAGAAUGCAAAACCUCCAACAGAUAUUGUUCACUUUCUAUAUAUUCAAACAUAUUCUCUGUUGAAUAUCAAACGUGUGAUGAUUUUGUAAUCGGGAGCCUAUCCUAA